rnacentral:rRNA from 1 species
UUUGGAAUAGGUGGUUUAAGCGUGUAGUCGUGCCUGGUAGGCAAAUCCGCCGGGCUGAGAUGAGGCGUGAUGACGAGGCUCUUCGGAGCCGAAGCGAGUGAUACCCAGCUUCCAGGAAAAGCCUCUAAGCUUCAGUCUAAGAGUGACCGUACCGCAAACCGACACAGGUGGGCUGGUAGAGAAUACCAAGGCGCUUGAGAGAACUCAGGAGAAGGAACUCGGCAAAUUGAUACCGUAACUUCGGGAGAAGGUAUGCCCCUGGUACGUGAAGGCCCUCGCGGCCGGAGCGGAACGGGGUCGCAGAGAAUCGGUGGCUGCGACUGUUUAUUAAAAACACAGCACUCUGCAAACACGAAAGUGGACGUAUAGGGUGUGACGCCUGCCCGGUGCCGGAAGGUUAAGUGUUGGGGUGCAAGCUCUUGAUCGAAGCCCCGGUAAACGGCGGCCGUAACAAUAACGGUCCUAAGGUAGCGAAAUUCCUUGUCGGGUAAGUUCCGACCUGCACGAAUGGCGUAUGGCCACACUGUCUCCUCCUGAGACUCAGCGAAGUUGAAAUGUUUGUGAAGAUGCAAUCUCCCCGCGGCUAGACGGAAAGACCCCAUGAACCUUUACUGUAGCUUUGCAUUGGACUUUGACGGGACUUGUGUAGGAUAGGUGGGAGGCUAUGAAACCGGGACGCCAGUUCCGGUGGAGCCAUCCUUGAAAUACCACCCUGGUGUCGUCGAGGUUCUAACCCAGGCCUGUGAAUCCAGGUCGGGGACCGUGCAUGGUGGGCAGUUUGACUGGGGCGGUCUCCUCCCAAAAGGUAACGGAGUAGUACGAAGGUCACCUAGGUACGGUCGGACAUCGUACUGAUAGUGCAAUGGCAAAAGGUGGCUUGACUGCGAGACCCACACGUCGAGCAGGUGCGAAAGCAGGUCAUAGUGAUCCGGUGGUUCUGUAUGGAAGGGCCAUCGCUCAACGGAUAAAAGGUACUCUGGGGAUAACAGGCUGAUUCCGCCCAAGAGUUCACAUCGACGGCGGAGUUUGGCACCUGAUGUCGGCUCAUCACAUCCUGGGGCUGUAGCCGGUCCCAAGGGUAUGGCUGUUCGCCAUUUAAAGUGGUACGUGAGCUGGGUUUAAAACGUCGUGAGACAGUUAGGUCCUAUCUGCCGUGGGCGCUGGAAGUUUGAGAGGGCCUGCUCCUAGUACGAGAGGACCGGAGUGGACGCACCCCUGGUGUACCGGUUGUGACGCCAGUCGCAUCGCCGGGUAGCUAUGUGCGGAAGAGAUAACCGCUGAAAGCAUCUAAGCGGGAAACUCGCCUCAAGAUGAGACUUCCCCGGGGCCUCGAGCCCCCUGAAGGGUCGUUGAAGACCACAACGUUGAUAGGCCGGGUGUGUA